AUUGAACGCUGGCGGCAGGCCUAACACAUGCAAGUCGAGCGGAUAAAGCGUGCUUGUUUCUGGAUUCAGCGGCGGACUGGUGAGUAAUUCCUGUGAAUCGCCAUGGUAUUACGGGAUGACGUCUGGAAACGGGCGCUAAUACCGCAUACUUCCUGAGCGAGAAACAGGGAGAUCUUCGGACCUCACGCUAUGUGAUGAGUCUAGGUCGGAUUAGUUAGUUGGUUGGUUAAAGACCUACCAAGCCUGCGAUUGGUAACUGGUCUGAGAGGAUGAUCAGUCACACUAGAAGUGAGACGCGCACCAGGCGCCUAAGGGAGGCAGCAGUGGGGAAAAGGGGACAAUGGGCGGAAGCCUGAUCCAGCGGUGAGGAGCAUGUUGAAAAGAUCAUGCGAUUGAAAAGCACUUUUAGUUGGGAGGAAGGGCAGUAAGAUAAUACCAUGCUGUUUUGACGUUACCAGACGAAUAAGCACCGGCUAACUACGUG
rnacentral:rRNA from 1 species